rnacentral:rRNA from 1 species
CCUACGGGAGGCAGCAGUGAGGAAUAUUGGUCAAUGGGCGCGAGCCUGAACCAGCCAAGUAGCGUGAAGGAUGACUGCCCUACGGAUUGUAAACUUCUUUUAUAAAGGAGUAAAGUGAGGCACGUGUGCCUUUCUGAAUGUACUCUAUGAAUAAGCAUCGGCUAACUCCGUGCCAGCAGCCGCGGUAAUACGGAGGAUGCGAGCGUUAUCCGGAUUUAUUGGGUUUAAAGGGAGCGUAGAUGGUGAGUUAAGUCAGUUGUGAAAUUUUGCGGCUCAACCGUAAAGGUGCAUUUGAUACUGGCAGCCUUGAGUACAGGUGAGGUAGGCGGAAUUCGUGGUGUAGCGGUGAAAUGCUUAGAUAUCACGAAGAACUCCGAUUGCGAAGGCAGCCUACU